UGGGGAAUUUUGGACAAUGGGCGCAAGCCUGAUCCAGCCAUGCCGCGUGCAGGAUGAAGGCCUUCGGGUUGUAAACUGCUUUUGUACGGAACGGAAAGACUCUGGUUGAUACCUGGGGUCCAUGACGGUACCGUAAGAAUAAGCACCGGCUAACUACGUGCCAGCAGCCGCGGUAAUACGUAGGGUGCGAGCGUUAAUCGGAAUUACUGGGCGGAAAGCGUGCGCAGGCGGUUAUGUAAGACAGAUGUGAAAUCCCCGGGCUCAACCUGGGAACUGCAUUUGUUACUGCAUAGCUAGAGUACGGCAGAGGGGUGUGGAAUUCCGCGUGUAGCAGUGAAGUGCGUAGAUAUGCGGAGGAACACCGAUGGCGAAGGCAAUCCCCUGGGCCUGUACUGACGCUCAUGCACGAAAGCGUGGGGAGCAAACA
rnacentral:rRNA from 1 species